rnacentral:lncRNA from 1 species
GCAGCCUCUCCCACGUGCACCUGCGAGGCCUACCCUUUCUCCCGUCUCAGGGCCUUGAUGCCCGUGCCUGUGAAGCUGGCAUCAGCGAAGACCUCAGACGGGAAGGGAUGAGUGAGCAGGAGUAUGAGUACGUGAGUUUCGAAUGGAAGCACUGUUAUGCCAGCAUCAAACACCCUGCAUUGACAGAAAUGUGAUUCCGGCAAGGUAAUAACUGCCACUCCCUGGGACUGUUUGACAUGACUCCAGGACCACAGGGAGUGCAUGAGGAAGCUGGCAGUCCACCUGCCACCCACUGUGAACCCAGACAGAGAGGCCAUCUGACCCACACAGCAAUUCUGGGGGACUGGGACCUGCGAGCAAGGUUCGAUUCCCAGCCCAUCCGUCCCUGUCUCUCUGACACACGGUCACCACGUGCAUUCUGCUGCCAGGCCCCGGAGCUGAAUCCUGUGAAAUCCUUGCUCCAGGGGCCACACAAUGUAACCGGGAGGCAGGAAUAUGACAGGAAAAGUUAACCCACAGGAUGGGAGGUCCCAGGCUGUGUGCACAGUGACAGGAGUGAUCACAAGAGUGCAUGGGGACUCACCCUGGCCAGAGACAGAGAGGCAUAUAGGAAGGUUCCCCAGGGGAGCCGAGACUCUGUCCAGACCUCAAAGAAUUCGGAGAGGAGAGUGAGAGUGAGCCCGUAUCUGGGAUAACUGAAAAAAAAAAAUGACUAGCUUAAAAAAAAAUCUCCAUGUGUGACACCUUACGUCACUAAAGCAAAGUGUGGAUUUGAGUUACUAGGUACUAACGAGAAUUUUGGAAAAUGGACACAGCCCUGCGUUUAAAGGAAUUGUCUUUUCUUGCUGGCUGAUACACUUGUAAACACACACACACACACACACCCCACCUGGCAUCUCCAUAUAACAUCCCAGGGUGCCGUUAGCCUUUCUGCCUCCUCCCUCAUCCCAUGUCUCCUAGAACUGCCAUGAAGCUGACGUGCAGCAUGUGCUCGCUGCUGGGCAUAGGUGGCCAGCCCAUGGCUCCUUCCUGUACCCGUUGCUGGCAGGUCCCGUGCCCCGGGGCAGCUCCUGCCACCAGUCCUCUCCUCUGCCCUCCCUCGCAUCUACUCCUUACGUGCAUCUGUCAAGGGGCGCUGAGCAGGUGUGUCUGUGCUUCACUCAGGUCUCGUUAGUGGUUGUCAGUAAGCUCUGAAUUCUUCCAUAGAACCCUUAAAUCCUUCCUCAAUCCCCACAGCCCACGAGCAAGCCUCCUAAAUCCAAUCAAUUAACACAGCCCAGAAAGUGGAUCCAUUUGCAGGAAAGCUAUAAGCUUGCACCUAAUCGUCCUUCCCUAGGGGACCGGUUAGAGCAACUGUAGGACGGCAGGAAGGAGCCCUCUAUGGACCUGAAAACAUCAAGGAGAACGGUACAUGUUGAUUGGAAAUAUGUCCGUGACAUAUAUUGCUAAGUUUAAAAAACUUAGGCUCCAAAGCAGCAGAUGAGUAUGAUUGCAGUAGCUUUUGAAACGGUCGUGUUGGGUGAGUGUUUAUACAGAGAUGUCUGGGGCAGGAGAGAGAGGCCUGGGGGCCACCAAAUAUUCCCAGCAGUUGCUGACAGUGAGACACCAGGAGGGUUCAAUUUUAAAAACUGUCUUCUUUAUUUAAAAAACAUUUUUUUUCAGUGGUUGAAUUUUUGACAUGGGUAUGCAUUGUCUUCAUAAGAAGGAAAAGGAAAAAAAAAAAAAAAAAAGAAAACCAGCUAGGUGAUUUAUAAGCUUCCAUGGAGCAUUUUUGGUAAAUGAGAAGUGCUGGGUUUUCCAGGUAAAUGGAAUAUGCAAACCAUGGGUGCCGGGGCUGGGAGGAAGUGACAAGAGGGGACACUGCUUAGUUGCGUAGGGUUUCCUUUUGGGGUGAUGAAAUGUUAGGGAACUAGAGAGGGCUGAUGCGCGUUGUGAUUGCACCGAACGUUCUGCAUUUACUAAAUGCCCCCGAAUUGGACACUUGGAGACGGUUAAUUUCCUGUUAUGUGAAUUUUACCUCAAUAAAAAGUGCCAGAUUCUCUAGUAAAACAAGUCACCUAAAAAAAAAAAAAAAAAAAAAAAAAAAAAAAAAAAAAAAAAAA